rnacentral:misc_RNA from 1 species
UUUCCGUAGGUGAACCUGCGGAAGGAUCAUUCAUAAUAAAGUGUUUUAUGGCACUUUUUAAAAAUCCAUAUCCACCUUGUGUGCAAUGUUAGAUCUCGUCAAUCUUGGCGAGAUUUUUAUACAUCAACUCAUUCUUUAACUAAUUUGUCUGAAAAAUAUUAUGAAUACUUAAUUCAAAAUACAACUUUCAACAACGGAUCUCUUGGUUCUG